UUUGGUUGUUUGUGGGUUUUGUCGAUUUUUGUCCUUAGUCAAAUAAUAUAUGCAUCCUAGUCAUUAUAUAUGGUUAAUGGUGGUGGGGGUGGUUGAAGAGUCUUACUCACAUGUGCGUGUACGCUUCUCCUUCACCACUGUUUUCUUCUCUAAUAGAAGGCUUACACAACUCCACCGUCAUACAUUUCUCAAUGGACUUCUCCAUUUUUGCUUCCUUUUACUUCCGCCCGCGUCAAAUUUCGGAGUACCCACCGGGGUUACUUUAAUCAGUCCAUUUAUCCACCGCCUUCAUCUCCUAUCGCUUCCAUUGCUUCAAAUCACUGAUUGUUUCCCUCUCCUUCUAUCACGUCCCUCUUCCUAUAUACUCCCGAGGUUCGGUCUUCAAUCGACAAACUCUCAAUCUUUGAAAACCAUUUGGCAUGGAGGAUCCACUGACGCUUCACAUUUGUUCGUUUGAAGGUAUUAUGACUGGAGUCGUCACCGCUCUGCUCAACAUCAUCUACCGCAACAUCCAUCCAUCCGGCUUCGAUUUGUGUUUCGACGCUAUCUCCACCGAUAUUUCCACUUGCUUUGUCGGUUAAGGUGGUCGGUUAGUGUCGUCAUGGUUGUUAAUUUUCUGUUUUUAUCUCCUUCAGUGACGGCGAUGGAGAUAGUGGAUAUAGGGUUCCUUUGUUCCGAUGGUCGGCCACCAUGUUCAGGUUUUAAAGAAAUUGUUGGUUUGAAAGGGAGCAAAACAGAUAUAUGGAAUGAAUAUUGUGGCCAAACAACAGGAUUUAAACAAUUAUUGGUUCAUGAAAGAUGUGCUUGAUGAGGUGAGUAUAUAAAGCUUACCGAGUAUCAAUUGGCUGAGCUUUUUUACGUGUUUACCUUUGAUUCAACUUCAAGAAAUCUCGGAGUUGUGUAUGAAGCACUUGGUUGCAGGUAUAACACCACAUAAGGUCCCCAUUUCACUAACCCACUUGAGAACACUUGAUCUCGGUUUGUGGUUCCUUCACUUUUCGUAUGUUCUAUCAAUGACGAGCAACUCUAAAAAUUUAUAGGAGACCAAAGUGGAGGUAAAUAUCAACUACAUUUUAUUACAUAUAGAUAUUAUCAGUUACAUUUUAUCACAUCAUCAUGAUUUUACUUACAAUUUUGACAAAAACAAGAAACUAUACAAGGAAAGGUAUAUAGAUAUUAUCAUUAAACCUAAGUUAUGCUUGUUGGCCUCAUAGUCGUAUGUCCUUUGUCAAAUUUCUUUUCUUUAUUCAUAUUUACUUUUUUACCCUUCGUCUCAUGCACCACAGAAGUAGUUGGUUUGACGGACGCUUCGAUUAUAUCCACACAUUUCAGGGCAGAAAGAGAGUUAAUAUCAGUCUUUCUCGGCUAAAUAUAUGAGUCUGUAACAUACAAACUCGAUUCAUUUGUGAGGGAAAGGGUGUCGUACUAGUAGAAGGUUUUGAUCAGAUGCAGUCCUUCUGUUGCUGAUGGAUAUUGGUCUUCAUCAAUGCGUAUAUGUACAUCAAAUUUUAAUUACGUAAGCAUCUAUGUCCAAACUUAGCUUACUACUCCAAUGAAGGUUCGAUUACUUUCUUUAUUUUGUUUAAAACGACCAAAUAUUGAAAGAAUUUGGUAUCUUUGAGUCAGUAUAAACAAUUUUUUUCUAUCAUCAGACGAAUAUUGACUUGAUGAAGAAUCUUGGAAUAGAUGCUUAUUGAUUCUCAAUAUUACAGUCAAGUAUAUUCCCAAGUAAGUUUACUAAUCACCUUAAUGAUUCUAUAAUAAUGUAGUAUAUUGUCGAUUCCUUUGAAUGUGAUAAAUAAACUAACAUCUAUUUCAAUGUUAAUAGAUGGUACAGACAAACCGAGAAUGUAUCCAAAAAAGGAACCAACACAGUCAACAACACCAUUUGACUAUGCCCAAUAAAGGGAUAUAUAACAUAUCAUGAAAUAUUGAAGGCUUCUAACCCGCGCAACCCGGGGAUUUGUAGCGGAUCCACAAUGUCGUAAUGGGAGGCGUUGGAUACUCUCCUUCCAAUUGUACCAUGACAUAAUUAUUGGUGUACACAAGUGCAAAUGUAAGGACCCCAGUGAUUUUAAAACUCUCUAAAGAGGGAAAAAAUUAUAGGGCCUUCAAUGGUCAAAAUUUGAACGAUCACACCAAACAAAACUUGUUGGCUAUCGAGAUGCUUGUCUCUGACAUAAGCAUCCAAUGUUUUGUUGGUUAUGACUUAGUCUUCAUAAAAAAAGACAGUUAAGUAACUACUUCAUCACAUCCAACGAAAACUCUAGCGUAGUCUUCAUAUGAACUCAAUAACUCGUCCAACAAUUGUUGAAGAAUGUAAAGACACUGAUCUUCACCAUAUCAAGACAAAUGACUACUGAUCGAAAACCACAAUUUACAUCACCCAAUACAUUUUGUAUAUGUGCGAUGUAUGGAUGAAAUAUAAAUGGAAUUUCCUCUAACAAUGCUCUAUUGGUUCCUCCUAUAAGUCAAUGUAGUAUGAUCUUCACCAUAUUCAAGUCAAUCUUGUAUGAACAUUAACCUAUCAGAUCCCCAUUCAAGUCUGCCUGGUAUGAACAUUGUUAAAUUGGUUCCUCCUAUAAGUUUAUGUUGU